rnacentral:rRNA from 1 species
GCUUCCGGCCACACCUCCUGAGCACGCCCGAUCUCCUCUGAUCUCGGAAGCUAAGCAGGUCGGGCCCGGUUAGUACUUGGAUGGGAGACCGCCUGGGAAUACCAGGUGCUGAAGCC